CCUUGUGCAUAACUUGUUUCUCGCUGUGUAGCCGUCGUCGUUUCUUGUUGUACAGCCAUCAUGACAAGAGCACUUGUAACCAGUGUUUCUUUUUAUUGUAUAGCCGUCAAGGCAGAGAACCUUGUGUAUCACUUGUUUCUCACUGUGUAGUCAUCAUUGAAGAGCACUUGUAACCAGUGUUUCUUUUUAUUGUAUAGCCGUCAAGGCAGAGAACCUUGUGCAUCACUUGUUUCUCGCUGUGUAGUCAUCAUCGUUCGUUUCUCGUUGUAUAGCCAUCAUGACAAGAGCACUUGUAACCAGUGUUUCUUUUUAUUGUAUAGCCGUCAAGGCAGAGAACCUUGUGUAUCACUUGUUUCUCGCUGGGUGGCUGUUGUGGCCAGAAGACCUGUAAUAAGGGUCUUCCUCAGUGUUUGUUAGGUCCCACAGUAGAGGUGAGUCUCUUGGGGCUGGGAACUAAUCGUCGGGUCGACGAUUCAUAAUGUGGGGGUGGAAUGUAGCAGGGUGACUGAAUUCGUUAGUGAGGAUUUCAUUCACCUGUGCUUAAUUUAAGCCCCCGCCCCUUUCUUGGUUGAUAUAAGGGAUGUGUGUUUGUCAUAUGGCAUGCGUCUUGGUAUCGGCCUUGUGACGUCAUCCGUGGUUGCCGCAGGCUUGGACUGUAAGCUGGCUUCCUCGUCUGCUGUGUGUUGGCUGCCCACGCCACACAGCAUGUCAUUGACAGCAUGGUGUUCAUUACUGAACUGUUGCACUGCAAGAUGAUGCGCGACUGCAAAGCGGUUUGUGCGGCGGGAUCAUUCUGCGGACUUCCCUGCAUAACUGAGAGCCUUUGGGCUAUUCGCGAGAGCGUGCCAAUGCUGAACUGUGACAGUGUAUAAUUGCGACUGCGUCGCUGUUUUGCCUCGACGUUCAUCCCCUUAGCAACCGUUGUGACUCGACUGCACGUUGCUAUCGGGUAUUGUGCCCGCUAUUCCUCUGACUGCAAACUGGUUGGGUGUUUCAUCUGGCCCCAGUCUAUUUAACUCCAUUGGUUUGAAGCUCUUCGUAUGUAUGUUUAAUUGGUUUAAUGUCAAUUUGUUUUGUGGUAUUGGGUCCUAAUUAUGUAAAGUGGUUAGACCCUUGAAUUAUUUGAUUUGUUUAAUUUUUUUGAUUGUAUUCAUGUUUUGUGUGCUCAGUUUUUUGUCUUGUUACAGGAGCUAGGGGUUUCUGGAGGAUGCAAGCAUCGCCGCCAUUGGUGUGGUGUAUUCACACUUAGUGCUGUGUGUCUUCUAGCAUUUUAACCCUUCACGUGUGUGUGUGGGUAUUUGUAGUGGAUUAUUUGGGAGAGUUUUCCAAAUUUGGCGGCCGGCCUGGACCUCCAGAUACCUCUGCUCUUGAGUUUCUUAAAAUUGAGAAUUGUUGU